rnacentral:lncRNA from 1 species
CUCAGCUGGUAGAGCAUGCAAUUCUUGACCUCAUGGUCGUGAGUUCAAGCCCUAUGUUGGGUGUAGAGCUUACUUAAAGAUAAAAAAAAGAAAGAAAGAAAGAAAGAAAGAAAAAGCUCCCUCUGGCUAUGGGGCAGCAGGAGCUUGGGCAGAGGUGAGCAAAGCUAAAGGUCAAGGACCCAUCCGGGGACAGUUGCGGUGGCCAGUGACAUGUCAGGAGGUUCGGGCCAAUGGUCAGGGGAUGAAAAGAACAUUCAGGUGGCAGGACCUAUGGGGCCUGAGGCCCAGCAGCUCAGGAAGGUGGCGCAGCGCUUCUGGACUGGCAUGGGGGAGGGAUCCUCUAGAAUCUAGACAGAAUCUUGAUGGAACAAAGGUUGCAAACUGCUGGCCAAGGAUGGCAUCCAGCCCAUGGAAGAAUCUGUUCUGGGUUUUGGCAUCAUUUGAAUUAAUUGCCAACAGAAGAUCUCUGGCUUCUUGCAACAAAUCCACGGCUCUCAUCGGAUCAGCUUCCGGGCUGGGGGCCCUUCAGUUACUGGAUUUGCAGCCUCUGGGGAAGCUGAUUCAAAGAUCCUCCCCAAGUGUGCCAACAUGCCAGCCAUGUGAGCCCACCAUCUUGGAAGCAGAUCCUCUCGCCCCCUGUUGAGCAGAGCUGAGACGCCGCCUGCAAGCUGUGUUCUAAUUGCACACAUGUGAGCCAGUGACAAAUCUUGUUGUUUUAUACCGCGACGUUUUGGAGGGGCUGGUUCCACACGAAGAGUUCCCUGGAACGAACCUCAUGAAGACAGUCUCCUCAUUCUGCACACGAGAAACUCGGGCAAGGAAGGCGGAACCAGUUCGCCCAAGGUCUCCCAGCCGUCCGUGGGACACCCGGCCUUGGAAAUAAGCC